UUAAGCGACUAAGCGUACACGGUGGAUGCCCUGGCAGUCAGAGGCGAUGAAGGACGUGCUAAUCUGCGAUAAGCGCCGGUAAGGUGAUAUGAACCGUUAUAACCGGCGAUUUCCGAAUGGGGAAACCCAGUGUGAUUCGUCACACUAUCAUUAACUGAAUCCAUAGGUUAAUGAGGCGAACCGGGGGAACUGAAACAUCUAAGUACCCCGAGGAAAAGAAAUCAACCGAGAUUCCCCCAGUAGCGGCGAGCGAACGGGGAGGAGCCCAGAGCCUGAAUCAGCAUGUGUGUUAGUGGAAGCGUCUGGAAAGGUGCGCGAUACAGGGUGACAGCCCCGUACACAAAAGCGCAUGUGCUGUGAGCUCGAUGAGUAGGGCGGGACACGUGGUAUCCUGUCUGAAUAUGGGGGGACCAUCCUCCAAGGCUAAAUACUCCUGACUGACCGAUAGUGAACCAGUACCGUGAGGGAAAGGCGAAAAGAACCCCGGCGAGGGGAGUGAAAAAGAACCUGAAACCGUGUACGUACAAGCAGUGGGAGCACAGGUUUACCUGUGUGACUGCGUACCUUUUGUAUAAUGGGUCAGCGACUUAUAUUCUGUAGCAAGGUUAACCGAAUAGGGGAGCCGGAGGGAAACCGAGUCUUAAUUGGGCGUUAAGUUGCAGGGUAUAGACCCGAAACCCGGUGAUCUAGCCAUGGGCAGGUUGAAGGUUGGGUAACACUAACUGGAGGACCGAACCGACUAAUGUUGAAAAAUUAGCGGAUGACCUGUGGCUGGGGGUGAAAGGCCAAUCAAACCGGGAGAUAGCUGGUUCUCCCCGAAAGCUAUUUAGGUAGCGCCUCGUGAAUUCAUCUCCGGGGGUAGAGCACUGUUUCGGCUAGGGGGCCAUCCCGGCUUACCAACCCGAUGCAAACUGCGAAUACCGGAGAAUGUUAUCACGGGAGACACACGGCGGGUGCUAACGUCCGUCGUGAAGAGGGAAACAACCCAGACCGCCAGCUAAGGUCCCAAAGUCAUGGUUAAGUGGGAAACGAUGUGGGAAGGCCCAGACAGCCAGGAUGUUGGCUUAGAAGCAGCCAUCAUUUAAAGAAAGCGUAAUAGCUCACUGGUCGAGUCGGCCUGCGCGGAAGAUGUAACGGGGCUAAACCAUGCACCGAAGCUGCGGCAGCGAACGUAUCACCCAAGACAACUUUACGGAGUUGACGAUUGACGGAGCGAAGCGACGUCAAAGCGUUCAUUAAAGUCGAGUUGGCUUAGGGAUACGUUCGUUGGGUAGGGGAGCGUUCUGUAAGCCUGUGAAGGUGUGUCGUGAGGCAUGCUGGAGGUAUCAGAAGUGCGAAUGCUGACAUAAGUAACGAUAAAGCGGGUGAAAAGCCCGCUCGCCGGAAGACCAAGGGUUCCUGUCCAACGUUAAUCGGGGCAGGGUGAGUCGACCCCUAAGGCGAGGCCGAAAGGCGUAGUCGAUGGGAAACGGGUUAAUAUUCCCGUACUUGGUGUUACUGCGAAGGGGGGACGGAGAAGGCUAUGUUGGCCGGGCGACGGUUGUCCCGGUUUAAGCGUGUAGGUGUGUGUUCCAGGUAAAUCCGGUUCACUUUAACACUGAGGCGUGACGACGAGGCACUACGGUGCUGAAGCAACAAAUGCCCUGCUUCCAGGAAAAGCCUCUAAGCAUCAGGUAACAUCAAAUCGUACCCCAAACCGACACAGGUGGUCAGGUAGAGAAUACCAAGGCGCUUGAGAGAACUCGGGUGAAGGAACUAGGCAAAAUGGUGCCGUAACUUCGGGAGAAGGCACGCUGACACGUAGGUGAAGUGAUUUACUCAUGGAGCUGAAGUCAGUCGAAGAUACCAGCUGGCUGCAACUGUUUAUUAAAAACACAGCACUGUGCAAACACGAAAGUGGACGUAUACGGUGUGACGCCUGCCCGGUGCCGGAAGGUUAAUUGAUGGGGUCAGCGCAAGCGAAGCUCCUGAUCGAAGCCCCGGUAAACGGCGGCCGUAACUAUAACGGUCCUAAGGUAGCGAAAUUCCUUGUCGGGUAAGUUCCGACCUGCACGAAUGGCGUAAUGAUGGCCAGGCUGUCUCCACCCGAGACUCAGUGAAAUUGAACUCGCUGUGAAGAUGCAGUGUACCCGCGGCAAGACGGAAAGACCCCGUGAACCUUUACUAUAGCUUGACACUGAACAUUGAGCCUUGAUGUGUAGGAUAGGUGGGAGGCUUUGAAGUGUGGACGCCAGUCUGCAUGGAGCCGACCUUGAAAUACCACCCUUUAAUGUUUGAUGUUCUAACGUGGACCCGUAAUCCGGGUUGCGGACAGUGUCUGGUGGGUAGUUUGACUGGGGCGGUCUCCUCCUAAAGAGUAACGGAGGAGCACGAAGGUUGGCUAAUCCUGGUCGGACAUCAGGAGGUUAGUGCAAUGGCAUAAGCCAGCUUGACUGCGAGCGUGACGGCGCGAGCAGGUGCGAAAGCAGGUCAUAGUGAUCCGGUGGUUCUGAAUGGAAGGGCCAUCGCUCAACGGAUAAAAGGUACUCCGGGGAUAACAGGCUGAUACCGCCCAAGAGUUCAUAUCGACGGCGGUGUUUGGCACCUCGAUGUCGGCUCAUCACAUCCUGGGGCUGAAGUAGGUCCCAAGGGUAUGGCUGUUCGCCAUUUAAAGUGGUACGCGAGCUGGGUUUAGAACGUCGUGAGACAGUUCGGUCCCUAUCUGCCGUGGGCGCUGGAGAACUGAGGGGGGCUGCUCCUAGUACGAGAGGACCGGAGUGGACGCAUCACUGGUGUUCGGGUUGUCAUGCCAAUGGCACUGCCCGGUAGCUAAAUGCGGAAGAGAUAAGUGCUGAAAGCAUCUAAGCACGAAACUUGCCCCGAGAUGAGUUCUCCCUGAGACUUAGAGUCUCCUGAAGGAACGUUGAAGACGACGACGUUGAUAGGCCGGGUGUGUAAGCGCAGCGAUGCGUUGAGCUAACCGGUACUAAUGAACCGUGAGGCUUAACCUU
rnacentral:rRNA from 1 species